AGGGCUAUAGCUCAGUGGGAGAGAGCACCUGCUUUGCAUGCAGAAGGUCCCGGGUUCAAUCCCAGGUGGCCUCU